rnacentral:snRNA from 1 species
GUGCUUGCUUCGGCAGCUUAUAUACUAAAAUUGGAACGAUACAGAGAAGAUUAGCAUGGCCCCUGCACAAGGAUGACAGGCAAAUUCGUGAAGCAUUCCAUAUUAAA